AAAGAAAUACAGAACAGGCCAGGUGCGGUGGCUCACACCUGUAAUCCCAGCACUUUGGGAGGCCAAGGCAGGAGGAUUCACUGAGCUCAGGAGUUCGAGACCAUCCUAGGCAACACAAUGAAACUCUAUCUAUACUAAAAUACAAAAAAUUAGCUGGGCGUGGCAGGGUGUGGCUGUAAUCCCAGCUACUUGGGAGGCUGAGGCAGGAGAAUCGCUUGAACCGGGGAGAUGGAGGUUGCAGUGAGCCGAGAUAGCACCACUGUACUUCAGCCUGGGCGACAGAGCAAGACUCUGUCUCCAAAAAAAAAAAAAAAAAAAAGCAAAUACUGAACAGAGUCCUUGCCCCUAUAGAAUACACUAAGGGAAGCACCUUUUGCCCCUUUGUUUGGGGCAUGGCUCCUAAAUGUCCUAGGUUCAUUUUGAUAAGGGAUUUGGGGGAAGAAGACUGACUUAGAAGCAAGUGGUUUGAAGCUAGGCUCUAUCAUGAAAGGUGAUGUGACUCUUUCAAGGGCUGGGUCUCUCAUCUAUGGGAUUAUGGGCAAUCUCUCUUGGUUCCCAGAUUUGAUGCUAUAAACACUGCUCAAUCAUAAUAUUAUGGACUGAAUUGUUUCCUCCCAAAAUUCGUAUGUUGAAGCCCUAACCCACAAUGUGACUAUAUUUGGAGACAGAGCCUUUAGGAAGGUAAUUAAGGUUAAAUGAGGUCCUAGUCCUCCUUUAACUAGGGUAGGAUGGGGCCUUAGUCUAAUAGGACUGGUGUCCUUAUUAGAAGAGGAAGAGAAACCAGAGCUCUCUCUCUCCCUUUCCUGGCGUGUGUAAAGAGGAAAAGCCACGUGAGGACACAGCAGGAAGGUGGCUGUCUGCAAGCCAGGAAGAGAGCCCUAGCCAGAAACUGAAGUUGUGGGAACCUUGACCAUGGACUUCUCUCCUCCAGAACUGAGAGAAAAUAAGUGUCUGUUGUUUAAGCCACCCAGUGUGUGGUAUUUUGUUAUGACAGUCCUAGUAAACUAACCUACAAACAAAGCGCAUUUCAACGAUAUGCUCUUUUAAAAGGACAAUUUUUAAUAGGGCAAAUCCAUAAUAAUGUGACCUUUUUUUUUUCAUGGGGAGAGAAGGGAGACAAAUUCAGAAAGUCCCCUGAAUCAUGCUGGAGUUCCUGGAACUGCCAGUAUUUUCUAGAAGUCACAAAGAAAAAGACUGACAAAUGUGAAUAUAUAACAAUCUUUAGCUUUGGCUCCCAAGAGACCCCAUAAACAAAAGGUCAUCAACAUGAGAAAAUUAUUUGCAACAACAAUAACAAAAAUAAAGGCUAAGCUUAAUAUUUUUAUAUAUAAAAAGCUUUUAUAGAUAGUUAAAAAUACUGAAACACCAUUAGAAACAAAGGACAUAAAGCAAUUAAUUAAUUCUCUUUAUCUUUCCAUGGCCAGUAAACAUUGAAAAAAAUUGCAAUUUCUUUUUUGUUUGUUUGUUUGAGAUGGGGUCUCACUCUGUCUCUUAGACUGGAGUGCCAUGGCACAAUCACGGCUCACUGCAGCCUCAACCUCCUGGGCUCAAGUGAUCCUCCCACCACAGCCUCCCAAGUAGCUGGGACCACAGGCACAUGCCACCACCCCAGCUAAUUUUUUAUUAUUUGUAGAGAUGCGGUCUCACUAUGUUUCUCAGGCUAGUUUCGGACUGCUGGACUCCCAAAGUGCUGGAAUUACAGGCAAGAGCCACCGUUCCAGGCCUCAACUUCUUUUUUAUUUAGCAAGGUGAUAAAUUUUGAAAAGAAAAUUUUCACUGCUGGUAAAGGUAUGGUGAUAUGCGAAAGUUUACAGUGCUUAAGGGAAUUUUAACUGUACAAUCUUUAUAGAAAGCAAUUUAACAAUGUUGCAGGAGCUUGCCACAAAAAGUCCACCCUCUUUCACCCAGAAAUCUUACCUUUCUUGUCUAUCAUGAGGUAAUAACCUCCAAUGCCAUCAAAUAUCCAUCUACAAGCAUUACUUAUAAAAUUACUUAAAAACUUAAUCUAAAUGUUCAACAAUCCAAAUAUUUAACCAUAGAAAAAUAGUUAAAUUUGGAGAUUUCUAUAAAAUACUAGCCUGUCCCUAAAAAUAUUAUGGGAAUUUAAUGAUUUGGAAAAAUGCUUUAGAUACAAUAUUAUGGAGAAAAAACUAGGAUAUAAAACUGCCACAUGAGCUCAAUAUGGAUUUUUAUGUUAAAAUGGUUUAGACAAACUUUAAGGAAAUACACAAAAUGCUAGCAGCAGUUAUAAGUGGUAGAAUUACAUAUAAUUUGAGUUUUCUUUUAUAUCCUUUUCUGUGAGGUUAUUAACAAGUUAAUACAGGUAUAACACAAGUAAAUGGACAACACAGAUGACAAAGAAUUUCCUUUUUCUCUCCUCUACAAGGCUCUUGAAGGCCUAACUAGAAUCAAAGAGUUUUUUAAAACUAUGGGGAGAUGAUUUUAGUAUAAUCUAAAUAGAAAAACUUUCCUUAGAGGAGUCUAAAAAUGGCAGAUAGGGCCUCAGAAGGGUGAGUGACAUGUUACUGGAGUUCAAGUGUACACUGAAUAACCUUCCAGCCAUUCAUUAUGACACCUACUGGGAAUCUAUUAUGUGCCAAGUAGUCCUGUAGUCACUAGAGAUCUCACAAGCAGCAAGAUAAAGUCCCUGCCUCCAUGAAGCUUACCUUGCAGUGGAGGAGGAAGACAAUAACAUCAUGUCAGAGGUGAUACAGAAAAAUACUAAGUGGGCCAAGGGGAGAGUGUGAAGGUGGACACAGUGGUGGUGGCUAUUUUUGAAAGAGGCAUCAGGGUAGGGCUCCCCACUUCGAGUGAACUAAGGAAGCAAGGAACAUGGAUCUGCAGGGUUUGAGAGUUCCAGGAGGAAGGGACAGCCAGCCUGACAUGCAGAGUGAAUGAAGGACAGCCAAGGACCAGGUCCUACGUGAGAGGCUGAAGUGUGGCAGGGAGGCUUUCAGCCAUCACUGUUGCCCAGGUAAAGGAAAUUUCCCCCGUUGUGUUUUGAGGAGAGCUGCUACACACCAGUUCUCUCCUAGUAGAAGAAUGAACCAGAAAUGAACAUAAGCAUGUCGGAAUUCAUGUAUGUGGCAGACUGUAUUUUCCAAAGAUGGCCACAACAAUCUCUCUCAUUCCACAUGGUCUGCUGGAACCUUGUCACUCCUCCAUCAAGAGCUGGAACCCAUGUCUCCUGUACUUCAACCACUAUGGGUCCUUAUGACGGCCUCAACCAAUGAGUAGGUGAAAAGGACCCUUAUGUGACCUCCAAGGUAUAAUCAUCAGAAUUCCAUGAACUUCCAUCUUCUUCUCUUGGGAUGCUUGCUCUUAGAACCUAGCUGCCAUGUUUUGAGGAAGCCUUAAGCAGUCUGUGGAGAGGCCUAUAGCCAACACCAACUUGCCAGCCAUAUGAGUGUGCCAUCUUGAAAGCAGAUCCCCCAGCUACCACCAAACAGCCCAGUUGAUACCAUGUGAAAUGGAGAUUAGCUGCCUCUGCCAAGUACUGCCCAAGUUGCAGAUUUGUGAGCAAAAUAAAUGACUGCUAUUGUUUAAAGCCAAUAUGUUUUGGCGU